GAUGUGCGUGAUGAAAACGUGACCUUAGGCGGGUUUCGUUUUUGAUCGUUUUGAUCAAUGCCUCGACCUGCCAAUGUUGGGACUUGUCAUAGUUACACUGAUCACAUU
ensembl:snoRNA